rnacentral:rRNA from 1 species
GCAUUGCGGCGUGCUAUACAUGCAGUCGAGCGAACAGAUGAGAAGCUUGCUUCUCUGAUGUUAGCGGCGGACGGGUGAGUAACACGUGGGUAACCUACCUAUAAGACUGGGAUAACUCCGGGAAACCGGGGCUAAUACCGGAUAAUAUUUUGAACCGCAUGGUUCAAUAGUGAAAGACGGUUUCGGCUGUCACUUAUAGAUGGACCCGCGCCGUAUUAGCUAGUUGGUAAGGUAACGGCUUACCAAGGCGACGAUACGUAGCCGACCUGAGAGGGUGAUCGGCCACACUGGAACUGAGACACGGUCCAGACUCCUACGGGAGGCAGCAGUAGGGAAUCUUCCGCAAUGGGCGAAAGCCUGACGGAGCAACGCCGCGUGAGUGAUGAAGGUCUUCGGAUCGUAAAACUCUGUUGUUAGGGAAGAACAAAUUUGUUAGUAACUGAACAAGUCUUGACGGUACCUAACCAGAAAGCCACGGCUAACUACGUGCCAGCAGCCGCGGUAAUACGUAGGUGGCAAGCGUUAUCCGGAAUUAUUGGGCGUAAAGCGCGCGUAGGCGGUUUCUUAAGUCUGAUGUGAAAGCCCACGGCUCAACCGUGGAGGGUCAUUGGAAACUGGGAAACUUGAGUGCAGAAGAGGAGAGUGGAAUUCCAUGUGUAGCGGUGAAAUGCGCAGAGAUAUGGAGGAACACCAGUGGCGAAGGCGGCUCUCUGGUCUGUAACUGACGCUGAUGUGCGAAAGCGUGGGGAUCAAACAGGAUUAGAUACCCUGGUAGUCCACGCCGUAACGAUGAGUGCUAA